AUUGAACGCUGGCGGCAGGCCUAACACAUGCAAGUCGAGCGGAUGAAGGGAGCUUGCUCCUGGAUUCAGCGGCGGACGGGUGAGUAAUGCCUAGGAAUCUGCCUGGUAGUGGGGGAUAACGUGCGGAAACGGGCGCUAAUACCGCAUACGUCCUGAGGGAGAAAGGGGGGGAUCUUCGGGCCUCACGCCAUCAGAUGAGCCUAGGUCGGAUUAGCUAGUUGGUGGGGUAAAGGCCUACCAAGGCGACGAUCCGUAACUGGUCUGAGAGGAUGAUCAGUCACACUGGAACUGAGACACGGUCCAGACUCCUACGGGAGGCAGCAGUGGGGAAUAUUGGACAAUGGGCGAAAGCCUGAUCCAGCCAUGCCGCGUGUGUGAAGAAGGUCUUCGGAUUGUAAAGCACUUUAAGUUGGGAGGAAGGGCAGUAAGUUAAUACCUUGCUGUUUUGACGUUACCAACAGAAUAAGCACCGGCUAACUUCGUG
rnacentral:rRNA from 1 species